rnacentral:lncRNA from 1 species
AGGGGCGCCGGACAUCGCUCAGGUGGGACCAACACUCAUGAGGAGCACUGGCCCGGGGGUUGAUUAAAUUAUCCUCGGGGUCCGGAAAGUCCCUAUGCAAUUUAUUAGGUGUUUAGGCAAAUGUAGUACCAAAGUUGGGCCUUGCCAGACCAGCUUUAAUCUAAAACGAAUUAUCAAGGGGGUCCCCAUAACAACCCCGAUCGUGUUAGGAGCGCUCAUUUAUGGAACAUAACACCGGUAGCCGAAACUAAGGGGGCAAAGGUGGAACAAAACACCAGGCUAGAAAGGCCGAGCCUUCCACCUUUUACCAGGUAUAUAGGUGCAUUAAAAAUAGAAAGCAUAAAAUAUGGUGAUAUAACAAGGAACCCAUGCUUGGCAUGGAAGCAAUGCACCUGCAACUAGCAACGCUAUCAACAGGGUUAAGCAAGCAGUAACAUAGCCAAUCAGUGGUUUGCUAGGGUGAACAGGUUGAUGGUUUCAUGGCAUUGUAGAGAGGCUGAUAUUUAACAGGUGGUAGGCAACGAGACGUAAACGAU